rnacentral:rRNA from 1 species
UGGGGAAUAUUGGACAAUGGGCGAAAGCCUGAUCCAGCCAUGCCGCGUGUGUGAAGAAGGUCUUCGGAUUGUAAAGCACUUUAAGUUGGGAGGAAGGGCAUUAACCUAAUACGUUAGUGUUUUGACGUUACCGACAGAAUAAGCACCGGCUAACUCUGUGCCAGCAGCCGCGGUAAUACAGAGGGUGCAAGCGUUAAUCGGAAUUACUGGGCGUAAAGCGCGCGUAGGUGGUUUGUUAAGUUGGAUGUGAAAUCCCCGGGCUCAACCUGGGAACUGCAUUCAAAACUGACUGACUAGAGUAUGGUAGAGGGUGGUGGAAUUUCCUGUGUAGCGGUGAAAUGCGUAGAUAUAGGAAGGAACACCAGUGGCGGAGGCGACCACCUGGACUAAUACUGACACUGAGGUGCGAAAGCGUGGGGAGCAAACA